UAUGGUAGUGAUUGAAUGACUUAUGAGCUCCAUUCAAUAUUCAAGAGUUUGAUUUUUGUAACACUCCCCCUUGGAGUUCAUUUGUCAUUCAUGUCUUUGCGAUGUGCUUCAUGUUGCCUCGUUAAAAACCUUUCUAGGAAAACCCGGUGGGAAAAACCAUAGUAGGUAAAAAGAGUGCAACCGCGCAAGCUCCCCCUCGAAUGAUCAGGAUCAUAACUUACAAGUCUUGUUGACGAAUCAUUCCAAUAUUAUGAACAUGUUUUCUGAACAUAGAGGUGGGCAAUGAUUUUGUGAAGAGAUCCGCAGAAUUCUCGGAUGAUUGGACAUAUCUUACUUCAAUGUCUUUAUUCUUCACGAGCUCUUGGGUGUAUGAAAAGAACUUCGGAGGGAUAUGUUUGGUUCUAUCGCUUUUGAU
rnacentral:lncRNA from 1 species